rnacentral:rRNA from 1 species
AGAGUUUGAUCCUGGCUCAGGACGAACGCUGGCGGCGUGCUUAACACAUGCAAGUCGAACGGGGUGUUUAUUUCGGUAAACACCAAGUGGCGAACGGGUGAGUAACGCGUAAGCAAUCUACCUUCAAGAUGGGGACAACACUUCGAAAGGGGUGCUAAUACCGAAUGAAUGUAAGAGUAUCGCAUGAGACACUUACUAAAGGAGGCCUCUGACAUAAGCUUCCGCUUGAAGAUGAGCUUGCGUCUGAUUAGCUAGUUGGUGAGGGUAAAGGCCCACCAAGGCGACGAUCAGUAGCCGGUCUGAGAGGAUGAACGGCCACAUUGGGACUGAGACACGGCCCAGACUCCUACGGGAGGCAGCAGUGGGGAAUCUUCCGCAAUGGGCGAAAGCCUGACGGAGCAACGCCGCGUGAACGAUGAAGGUCUUAGGAUCGUAAAGUUCUGUUGUUAGGGACGAAAGGUAAGAAUCAUAAUAAGGUUUUUAUUUGACGGUACCUAACGAGGAAGCCACGGCUAACUACGUGCCAGCAGCCGCGGUAAUACGUAGGCGGCAAGCGUUGUCCGGAAUUAUUGGGCGUAAAGGGAGCGCAGGCGGGAAACUAAGCGGAUCUUAAAAGUGCGGGGCUCAACCCCGUGAUGGGGUCCGAACUGGUUUUCUUGAGUGCAGGAGAGGAAAGCGGAAUUCCCAGUGUAGCGGUGAAAUGCGUAGAUAUUGGGAAGAACACCAGUGGCGAAGGCGGCUUUCUGGACUGUAACUGACGCUGAGGCUCGAAAGCUAGGGUAGCGAACGGGAUUAGAUACCCCGGUAGUCCUAGCCGUAAACGAUGGAUACUAGGUGUGGGAGGGAUCGACCCCCUUCCCUGCCCGAAUUAACGCAAUAA